AGCUGACAGCCACUGAAGGUGGUGGCUUUUGAGCAUGACGUACAAAAACUCACCUUUGCAGACUCUGACUUCAUGAGCUUUCACCCCUGGACCGAAUGAAAGAGAGAACAAGGAAAAAGAGAGGAAAAUGAACUUGGACACAAAACUCAGCACAUACCUCCAGGUCCUGGACCUCUUGAUAUAGCUUAGUCGUCUCCAGCUGUUCUGUGCUGCAUUACAGGAGUUGGAUAAGAUUCUUUCUCCACCUCUGGUCUCUCUCAUAAGUUUACUUUGGGCCUUUAAGAAUUCACUUCAUCACUACUGGCCAUAGCGCAACUAUACUUUAACUUCCAGCUUUUACCUACAUCCUCUGCUUAGCCAACAGAGAGCAAGGCUGAAGAAUAUUCCCUGACAGGUUCCCAUUUCCC
rnacentral:lncRNA from 1 species